AGGACGAACGCUGGCGGCGUGCUUAACACAUGCAAGUCGAGCGGAAAGGCCCUUCGGGGUACUCGAGCGGCGAACGGGUGAGUAACACGUGAGUAAUCUGCCCCUAGCUCUGGGAUAGCUCCGGGAAACCGGGAUUAAUACCGGAUAUGACCACUUUAGACAUCUGUUGUGGUGGAAAGAAUUUCGGCUAGGGAUGAGCUCGCGGCCUAUCAGCUUGUUGGUGGGGUAACGGCCUACCAAGGCGACGACGGGUAGCCGGCCUGAGAGGGCGACCGGCCACACUGGGACUGAGACACGGCCCAGACUCCUACGGGAGGCAGCAGUGGGGAAUAUUGCGCAAUGGGCGAAAGCCUGACGCAGCGACGCCGCGUGGGGGAUGAAGGCCUUCGGGUUGUAAACCCCGUUUCAGCAGGGACGAAGCGAAAGUGACGGUACCUGCAGAAGAAGCGCCGGCUAACUACGCGCCAGCAGCCGC
rnacentral:rRNA from 1 species